UACGGAGGGGGCGAGCGUUAUUCGGAAUUACUGGGCGUAAAGCGUGCGUAGGCGGUUUGUUAAGUCUGUUGUGAAAUCCCCGGGCUCAACCUGGGAAUGGCAAUGGAUACUGGCAAGCUAGAGUGUUUCAGAGGAUGGUGGAAUUCCCGGUCGUAGCGGUGGAAAUGACGUAGAGAUCGGGAGGAACAUCAGUGGCGAAGGCGGCCAUCUGGGACAACACUGACGCUGAGGCACGAAAGCGUGGGGAGCAAACAGG
rnacentral:rRNA from 1 species